AAAAAGGGCUUCUGUCGUGAGUGGCACACGUAGGGCAACUCGUUUGCUCUGCGUGCGGAAUCGACAUCAAGAGAUUUCGGAAGCAUAAUUUUUUGGUUUCUGGGCAGCUAGUGAUCGUUGGUCCUGGCGCCCUU
ensembl:snRNA U11 spliceosomal RNA